UAAUGUUAUUCAUUUGUGAUGAUUUUUUUAUUUUAUUUUUUUAUUUUUAAUUUUAUUUCAAGUAAUGUAAAUGAUCAUUGUUUUCGUUUCCCGUCCUAUAAUAACCCUGCAGACUUCAGCGUUAAUUUCCUUGUGCUUCAAAUCUACAGUGAGAUGGGUGUUUACUGUAAAUGUUGUGUGUGUUUAUUCUUGUCAGUUUCCGCAGGCUUUGUUUUUAGUCCGUUGUUUUGGUUUCCCAGGAGCGGCAUGAAAGCACAUUGACGUCCCUCCAAACAGGAAGUCAGAAACAGUCGAGUGAGUUGAUGAAGUGAAGUGGACAGUGAUCUUGGGACUUUUCAGUAUCUUCAUGAAGGACCGCUUCAGAUGUUUCUUUACAGACAUUUAUCAUAUUCCAUAAGUAGAUGAGCCAGCAGAGGGAGACACGAGAGCUCAGUUCCUCACUGAGUUAAACAGUGCACAUGAAAUGAAAACCACCUGAACAUGUCGUGGUCUGAGAAACCCAGGCUCCGGGAUCGUGGAGGUUCCCACAGUCACGGAGAACCUGGACGAGUCUGGGAAGUUUGAAGCUGAGGUCUGCAGGCCUGGAGAAGUCAAGGAAAGG